rnacentral:rRNA from 1 species
UACGGAGGGUGCAAGCGUUAAUCGGAUUUACUGGGCGUAAAGCGUCCGUAGGUGGUCUGUUAAGUUGGAUGUGAAAGCCCAGGGCUUAACCUGGGAACGGCAUUUCGAACUGUCAGGCUAGAGUAUGGUAGAGGAGUGUGGAAUUUCCUGUGUAGCGGUGAAAUGCGUAGAUAUAGGAAGGAACACCAGUGGCGAAGGCGGCACUCUGGACCAAUACUGACACUGAGGUGCGAAAGCGUGGGGGAGCAAACAGGAUUAGAUACCCCCGGUAGUCC